AAAUAUCCAAGGUUUCCAGAGUAAAGCUGAUCUGCUCUGGGUAAGUCGGGACCUAAGGAGAGGUCGAAAGACGUAUCCGAUGGACAACAGGUUUAGAUUCCUGUACCACAUAUGAACAGAACUGUGGGGACGCAUGUGGAGAGCACGAGCCGGGAAUGGAAAUACCGGUACAAGCGGAGAAGGAGUCUGGUUGGCAAAUCCGCCAGGCAAUCCGAAGACGUGAUGUGGAGCGAAUUAGAGUAGCGAAGCGUGUGAGCCAUGUGCCGAGAAAAGCCGCUAUUGUUUCAUGUGUGCCCGUACCGUAAACCGACACAGGUGGAUGAGGAGAGAAUCCUAAGGCCGGCGGAAGAAGCAUUGUUAAGGAACUCGGCAAAAUGACCCCGUAACUUCGGGAGAAGGGGUGCCUGCUAACGCAGGCCGCAGAGAAUAGGCUCAAGCAACUGUUUAGCAAAAACACAGGUCUAUGCGAAACCGAAAGGUGAAGUAUAUGGGCUGACGCCUGCCCGGUGCUGGAAGGUAAGAGGAGAGGUUAGCGCAAGCGAAGCUUUGAAUUUAAGCCCCAGUAAACGGCGGCCGUAACAAUAACGGUCCUAAGGUAGCGAAAUUCCUUGUCGGGUAAGUUCCGACCCGCACGAAAGGCGUAAUGAUUUGAGCACUGUCUCGACAAUGCAUCCGGUGAAAUUGAAGUACCAUUGAAGAUGCUGGUUACCCGCGCCAGGACGGAAAGACCCCAUGGAGCUUUACUCCAGUUUGGUACUGGGAUUCGGUACUGCAUGUACAGGAUAGGUGGGAGACUAAGAACUUGGGACGCCAGUUUCAAGGGAGUCGCUGUUGGGAUACCACCCUUGCAGUAUUGGACUUCUAACCAGCCGCCGUGAUCCGGCGGUGGGACAAUGCCAGGCGGGGAGUUUGACUGGGGCGGUCGCCUCCGAAAGGGUAUCGGAGGCGCUCAAAGGUUCCCUCAGAAUGGUUGGAAACCAUUUGAAGAGUGCAAAGGCAGAAGGGAGCUUGACUGCGACACCGACGGGUGGAGCAGGUAGGAAGCUAGGACUUAGUGAUCCGGUGGCAUAAAGUGGGAUUGCCAUCGCUCAACGGAUAAAAGCUACCCUGGGAUAACAGGCUUAUCACUCCCAAGAGUUCACAUCGACGGAGUGGUUUGGCACCUCGAUGUCGGCUCAUCGCAUCCUGGGGCUGUAGCAGGUCCCAAGGGUUGGGCUGUUCGCCCAUUAAAGCGGUACGCGAGCUGGGUUCAGAAUGUCGUGAGACAGUUCGGUCCCUAUCCGGCGCGGGCGGAGGAUAUUUGAGAGGAGCUGUCCUUAGUACGAGAGGACCGGGAUGGACGGACCACUGGUGUAUCUGCUGUCGACCAACGGCAUGGCAGAGUAGCCAAGUCCGGAAGGGAUAAACGCUGAAGGCAUCUAAGCGUGAAGCCCCCCUCAAGAUGAGAUAUCCCUCACAUAAGUGAGUAAGAUCCCUUGAAGACUACAAGGUAGAUAGGGCAGAGGUGGAAGCACGGUAACGUGUGGAGCUGACUGUUACUAAUCGAUCGAGGGCUUGAC
rnacentral:rRNA from 1 species